rnacentral:rRNA from 1 species
AAUUCUAUGCUGUGCAGUCGCUAGUUCGAGACCAGUUGGAGAGGCGGCUAAGAAGUAGCUCGUAUCGGUUACGUAGGUAGGUGGUACCGGCGGUGGCGGUCCCCUCGUUCGUGGCGUCCAAGCAGCAGCGGCGCGUGGUCGAAGCAGCGCCUGAGGGACUAGGAGGGGUGCGCGUUGCCGUCCGAGAAGCGCAGGCGGAAGCGCGAGCAGAUGCAGGUGUGGAAGCAGAGGGAGAGGCAGCGGCAGGAGAUGCGGGUGGGGGAGCGGUGGCGGCAGGAGGAGGCGCACAUGAGCGACCAGUCCCUGUUGCUGCCACCGGGGCCCUCCUCGGUCGUGCAGCAGAUGCGCAGCCUUUCGCUGCUGCUCUAGGCCCCUGUGCGGUUCUUCGACGAGCAGCAGAUGGAGCGCAUGGAGCGGUCGGUCGAGCGGUGCGCCCAGCGGCAGCGCGAGCGGCGGAGGCGCUGCACAGCCCCACUGGCCGCGGGCGCGAGCGACCGGUUCGAGCAGGCGCCGUUCCGCCGGCGCCCCUCCCAGGCGCCGUGGAACCGGUGGCGGCGGGAGCAGCGGCAGCAGCUCGUGCGCAGCAACCGCCGAGAAGAGCGCAGGGGGAGCGCAGCACCGCGACCACCUGCUCGCCACGGCGACGGGCCAGCCUGCGGCGUCGCAGAAAACACUGCCCGAUGCACGACAAGGAGGAGGAGGAGGAAGAGGAGAGCGUGGAGAAGGAGCGGCGCCACAAGGUUCACCGCUAGCGGCGCAGCCGCCGUCUACUUCCAAUGCCCCUUCCGCCUUGUGCGCGACGAAAGGCCGCCCGCACCGCCGAGUACCGGCUCUCCCGCUCCUCCUUCCUCCGGCGGCACUACCACCAGCACCGCUCGGAGGAAGGCCAACGGUAGAGGGCCCGCAUGCGCAAACGGUACAUGACAAGAGUCUCCCGUGGGCUACGGCCAUAGUAGCCACAGGAGGUACCUAUAGAAGAGGGCAGGCAGCCGCACGUCGAGAACAGGUGCCACCGCCGGCGCUACAAGAUGGUGGCCACGUACCUCGUAGUAGUACUAGGCCGACAGGAAGUUGGCUCCUGCUUUGAUCGGUAUCGAUUUAGGAGGCACUAACUAAUUCGUUACACUAUGAGUAGAACUUAAAUGUUAAAAUGUACAUUUCGUGCUAAUCAAGAAUGUCAUACUAACUAUAAAUUUUCAAAUUUUUUAUUAUAUAGGAAAAAACGCUAUAAGAAAUUAUUUAUUUUUGCUCGGCCGAGAGGUCAAACGUAAUCUUUUUUGGGCGGUCAUUGUCUCAAGUCGUGUAGUUUUACAUCUCUGUUUUCCAUCUCACUCAUUCGUCGUCUCGAUUUGAUGAAUAAUGUCAAGUUGUGUUAUGUAGUAGUGUAAGGUUCAUAGGCUUAACGUCGGCGAGUAGGUACGAAGGAAACGUAUACGAAGAAUGCGGUGGUGUAAGUCGUAAGCUCGAGAAACUAAUUAAACCGAUAAAGAAGUUACUUCAAAAAAGAGAAACUGCGACUGAUACCGUCCGAACACGGCCGGACCUGAACAUAACUUCUAGUCUCCUCUUUGGAUGUCUUGUCGCUAUGUUUCAAUAGACGAUUAAUGUCCCAACAACUUGCGUGGGGUUGUCUUCUUUCCGAUUUAAGAGAGUCUAUUUACUUUGUUGUAGCUGGGGGUUAGAGCCUCUUCUUAUCGAACAUGUAGUAACCCCGUAGCUAAUCUGGU